CGGGUGAGUAACACGUGAGCAACCUACCCUCAACUUUGGGAUAAGCCUCGGAAACGGGGUCUAAUACCGGAUAACACUACAUGCUUCAUGGUGUGUGGUUGAAAGUUCUGGCGGUUGGGGAUGGGCUCGCGGCCUAUCAGCUUGUUGGUGGGGUAAUGGCCUACCAAGGCGUCGACGGGUAGCCGGCCUGAGAGGGCGACCGGCCACACUGGGACUGAGACACGGCCCAGACUCCUACGGGAGGCAGCAGUGGGGAAUAUUGCGCAAUGGACGAAAGUCUGACGCAGCAACGCCGCGUGAGGGAUGACGGCCUUCGGGUUGUAAACCUCUUUCAGCAGGGACGAAGCGAGAGUGACGGUACCUGCAGAAGAAGGACCGGCCAACUACGUGCCAGCAGCCGCGGUAAUACGUAGGGUCCGAGCGUUGUCCGGAAUUAUUGGGCGUAAAGGGCUCGUAGGCGGUUCGUCACGUCGGGAGUGAAAACUCGGGGCUUAACCCCGAGCCUGCUUCCGAUACGGGCAGACUAGAGGUAGGNAGGGGAGAGCGGAACUCCU
rnacentral:rRNA from 1 species